AACGAACGCUGGCGGCAUGCCUAACACAUGCAAGUCGAACGAUUGCCUUCGGGUGAUAGUGGCGCACGGGUGCGUAACGCGUGGGAAUCUGCCCUUAGGUUCGGAAUAACAGCUGGAAACGGCUGCUAAUACCGGAUGAUAUCGCGAGAUCAAAGAUUUAUCGCCUGAGGAUGAGCCCGCGUUGGAUUUGGUAGUUGGUGGGGUAAAGGCCUACCAAGCCGACGAUCCAUAGCUGGUCUGAGAGGAUGAUCAGCCACACUGGGACUGAGACACGGCCCAGACUCCUACGGGAGGCAGCAGUGGGGAAUAUUGGACAAUGGGCGCAAGCCUGAUCCAGCAAUGCCGCGUGAGUGAUGAAGGCCCUAGGGUUGUAAAGCUCUUUUACCCGGGAAGAUAAUGACUGUACCGGGAGAAUAAGCCCCGGCUAACUCCGUG
rnacentral:rRNA from 1 species